UUGAAACACUGGUUCACGUACAAUCACCGAAGUUAAGCAACGUCGAGACUAGUCCGUAUCUAGAUGGGUGACCGCUUGGGAAUACCAGGUGCUGUAAG